GGUUACCUUGUUACGACUUCACCCCAGUCAUGAAACACAAAGUGGUAAGCGCCAUCCCGAAGGUUAAGCUACCUACUUCUUUUGCAUCCCACUCCCAUGGUGUGACGGGCGGUGUGUACAAGGCCCGGGAACGUAUUCACCGUAGUAUGCUGACCUACGAUUACUAGCGAUUCCGACUUCAUGGAGUCGAGUUGCAGACUCCAAUCCGGACUACCACACAAGCUUUAUGGGGGUCCGCUUACCUUCC
rnacentral:rRNA from 1 species